rnacentral:SRP_RNA from 2 species
UGUGGGUCCGCCAACAGCGCGCUUGGAACCCCGUCAGGCCCGGAAGGGAGCAGCGGUAGCAAGAAAGCGGGUGUGGUGGGCCCUUUCCC